rnacentral:rRNA from 1 species
UACGGGGGGAGCAAGCGUUGUUCGGAUUUACUGGGCGUAAAGGGCGCGUAGGCGGUCGUGACAAGUCGAGUGUGAAAGCCCCGGGCUCAACCUGGGAAUUGCGCUCGAUACUCUUGUGCUUGAGUUCGGGAGAGGAGCGUGGAAUUCCCAGUGUAGAGGUGAAAUUCGUAGAUAUUGGGAAGAACACCGGUGGCGAAGGCGGCGCUCUGGACCGAGACUGACGCUGAGGCGCGAAAGCGUGGGGAGCAAACAGG